AGGAACCUGGACGGAGUGAGGAGGUGACAUCAGGCCUGGGAGGUGCAUGACCUAGCUAUGACACACAAGGGGCAUUAUUACAGUGUGAGGACUGCACCUGGGGGCACAGGGGCGGCCGAAGGGACGUGCCCCUCACCCAGGCAAGGACCACUGCGCCCACCCCACGGGUGGCUGGCGGGCAGAGGCAUGGUGGUGAGCUGGGAGCCUGGCCGGGGGCCGCUGGGGAUUGGGGGGUCUGGGAGUCAGGAGAAACGUCUGUCAGAAAGCUUGGCCAACAGAGACUGAAGCCAGGGAGACAGCAAGGCUAGGGACCCCAGGUGAUCUGAGCAGAAGGCACCAAAACUGAGAAUAAACAAGAAACUGACAGUUAAAUCGGCAGAGGGUCACUGGAGGGAGUGUGGGGACAUCGUGACCAUGAGGCUUCCCUGUGCACCUUGACCUGGGAAGGUGCGCCGUCACUCUGUUGGCCCCGUGCCCUGGCUCCUGGGUCACGGCAGGUGUGCUGUCACUCCAGGUUCACGGCGAGGAAGCUGGGCAGUGAGCCCGAGCCCCCCGGGCACAGGGACACCAGGAGCUGAGCUGGGACUGGAACCACCUGCUCUGGAACUUUUUGCUGCCAGGCAAUGAAGCGAGGGCUUUUGCAUCUAUGUUUGCAAUCUACAGUGGAGAUUUCAGAAAAUCACAAAAAUAAUGUUCUGCAAACACAUGGUGAACACCAGGGUGGGACGGGCUCCCCUUCUUCCUAGGUCGCCUCUUACGGUGGGGAGUUCUCGCAGAGGAACUAACUGUGGAGCUUUCAGGAAGGUGCUCUGGGUCUAAUGUGAGGGACAGAAUGACACUGUGGCCAUCAGGAACCAGUAAGGCAGGUUUCUCAAAAUAGGGCUGGUGUGUUACCAGAGCACAGUGUUCUGAGACGGCGGCUGGAAGGGGACAGGACUGGGCUGCAGUCUGGACCUCCUGGGUGAAAAUCUCUGGGAGAAGACUUGGGAGGCUGAGUGUGAAACAGCUCGGCAGACAGCAGAAUGUCACUCUGGGCGUGUUACGUCCGUGAGCCCUGCAUUUGAAGAGGGGAGACAACCUUCUGUCCAGGUCAGCUCUGCCUGAUACACCCUCUUCCAGACCCUCCAGCAUUUCUGUGACCACUUGAUGAGAAACGUGUUACUUUUUAACUUCCUGAAGAGUCAGAUUUCUGUGUGUUCAAAGGGUCCCUUUUCAGUAAAUCAAAGUGCAUCUGGGAGGAUCAAAGGGCUCUCACCCACGUUCACAUCCAACACCCAACUGAGACAGUUAACUCUGAGUUUGGGGAAGUUUGACUUGAGGCAGUGUUUUUCAAAUUCAGGUAUUUAACUGGACCCUUUUAAAUAAAAAAAAAUGUUGACCUCAGAGUUUUAACGUAA